rnacentral:rRNA from 1 species
AUUGAACGCUGGCGGCAGGCCUAACACAUGCAAGUCGAGCGGAUGAAGGGAGCUUGCUCCUGGAUUCAGCGGCGGACGGGUGAGUAAUGCCUAGGAAUCUGCCUGGUAGUGGGGGAUAACGUCCGGAAACGGGCGCUAAUACCGCAUACGUCCUGAGGGAGAAAGUGGGGGAUCUUCGGACCUCACGCUAUCAGAUGAGCCUAGGUCGGAUUAGCUAGUUGGUGGGGUAAAGGCCUACCAAGGCGACGAUCCGUAACUGGUCUGAGAGGAUGAUCAGUCACAAUGGAACUGAGACAAGGUCCAGACUCCUACGGGAGGCCGCAGUGGGGAAUAUUGGACAAUGGGCGAAAGCCUGAUCCAGCCAUGCCGCGUGUGUGAAGAAGGUCUUCGGAUUGGAAAGCACUUUAAGUUGGGAGGAAGGGCAGUAAGUUAAUACCUUGCUGUUUUGACGUUACCAACAGAAUAAGCACCGGCUAACUUCGUG